ensembl:lncRNA
CCUGGCGCAGGGCGUGGCGCGGGGGGGCACGGGCCCCGGCGGUCGCGGGGUUGGCGUGGCGCGAUGCUCCCGCCGGGGCCAGCGCGCGCCACCAUGCUCCCGGCCCGCGGGACCCCCGGCGCCACGCCACCGCCCGGGUGCGGGGCCGCGCCGGCGGAAGAGCAACCGGACCUGUCCCGAAGGGCCAUUCAAUGGAGACAGAUACACAUGUUGUAAGGCUAUGCAGUCUGCAAAUGAGCCUGGAGAAUCCAGCUUCCUGGGGCAAAGACAGGAUGGCUUUGUGGCUCACAAACUUCCCAAAGAGGUGCCUGUAUUGAGCACUGAUCUUCAGCAGUGGUGCCCUUUCAGAAGGUGGUGGACACUCAGGAGGUAGAACCUGGAUGAAUUCAGAAGUGGGUUUCUUGAAAUAGAACUUUAAAGAUGGAAAAGAAUAGCAGAGACACGGAUGGACAAUGUAAGGACACUGGGGAACUAUGAAAGGGAUGGACAGCAUUCUCACGUGGCAACAGUGGUCUGAAGCUUGGUGGCUCAGUUUACUUUUAGGUCAAGCUGAAUCUCUACAUCACUAAGAGAUUCCUUGAUGGAAGUGAGAGAUGGCCAAGUGGGAAGAAAGUGGAACCAAUGGGAAAGCCUUCACUACAUAGCAUCAUUGGCUUUGGAAUUAACAGCUUCAGAUGCCAAACAUGGAUGAAAUGCUGACUUUGAGCAACUGUUUGGAUCAGCAGGUGUGACAAAACUCCUGAAAAAGCAGCUUCAUAAAGAAAGGUUUUCUUUUGGCUUUUAGUUUCUUCGUUUCGGAGAAUGUAUGGCAGAAUGGCUCAGGCUGUGGGUCCUACCUUGGACAGAUACCACCACAUUGAGGAACAGGUCUUCAGUAAAUCAACCCUGGGAAGACAAACUACAUUUAAAUCAUUUCAAGGGGCCAGCAAUAUGACUCAACAGAUAAAGACAGUGUGAAGCCUGGUGACCUGAGUUCAAGCCCCUGGCAUCCACAUGGUAGAAAGAAAAAGCUGACUCUGAAGGCUGUACUCCUCUGACCACCACAUACAUGCUGUGGUAUACCUUAUACUCCCUCCCAUGAAUAAAUAAAUGAAAACAUUAAACCACUUCCAAACCAUUACACUUGCUCAACCUGAACACCCAGGAUAUGGUUGUAGACACUAAGCAUUAAAAAUUCUCAGUUACAAUGUGGGGAGUGCUAAGUUAGUGGGCCAGGUGACCGUCUAAAGCACCUCAUAUGAUCCUAGCAUUGUGGCGGGUACUCUUAGUCAGUGGAGUUUUAUCACAACCAUCAUCUGCAUGCAUGCAAGUCAGCUCAAUUUCUGUAUAGCCUCUUGGUGGUGUACCAAUUCUGCCUUUUUCUUGUCUGUGGCCUGGGGAAAUGGCAAUUCCAACUUCCUAAGGCAGUAUCUUGGGAUUCAUGGAGUGUAGGUCUAUGUGAUUCUCAAUGUACCUACCUACCAUCCGUCAGUAAGUGAUGGGGAAUAUUAUGAUCUGUUCUCAUUAAAAUUCAUGUUGAAACUUAAUACCAGAUGGAAGAAAAGCCAGCAGACAUCCAUAUCCGCAUUCUACACCUCCUGGCCUGUGAUGAUAUGAGCUUCUCUGCUCUGCCAUGCACUGCCUGCCAUGAUGGACUGAGCCCUCUGAGGUCAUGAAAAAAGGAUGGACUGAGCCCUCUGAGGUCAUGAAAGAAGUUGGAGAUUGGGCCAUCUGCAUGCUGGUGAGCCAGAGAACCUGGUUGUUUCUCAGUCCAAGAAGCUGCAGAUCUCAGAACAAGGGAAAUCAAUGAUGCCACCCUUCCUAACACAGAAGUUUCUGGAAGAUGUGCUUAUGUGAGUCUCAUGGAAAGGCUUCUUCAGAAGAUGGAGUCUAAUGUUCAAGGAUUAUGGCAGCCACAGUAGAAGUACUUUCUCAGAACAAAUGGAGCCUAUGUAGACUUCACUCUCUUUCUUCUUCUACUUUCACUCCAUCUUAGCCCUCAGUCUAUUGGGUGGAGCCUCAUGCAUUUAGUGAGGGUCUUUCUCCCUCAGUUGCUCUCCCACAUGUCAAACAUCUCUGACAUGUCCUCAGAAGCACACCAAGAAAUGUUCUUUCCUGAUUUGCUAGGCGUCUCUGAAUCCAGCCAAGUUGACAAUCAAGAUUAAUCUUCACAAGUACAAAGAAG